GGAUGUGAGGGCGAUCUGGCUGUGACAUCUGUCAACCCAUUGAUUGCCAGGGUUGAUUUGACUGAUCUGGCUGGCUAGGUGGGUGUCCCCUUCCUCCCUCACUGCUCCAUGUGCAUCCCUCCUGAAGCUGCAUACUUGGUUGAUGAGGAUGACCUUCCCUGAUAGAGGAGGACCCUUCUUCGGUUAAGCGUAUAUUAGUAGCUGUGCUCCCCAGCUAGAGUCUCCAAACAAGCUCUCGAGGUCCACUGAUAGGAGAACAUAGGGUAGUGUCAAGCUUCCAAGACUCCAGACACAUCCAAAUGAGGUCUGCAUGUGGCAGUCUGCCUUUAUUU
ensembl:misc_RNA 7SK 7SK RNA